CCAGACUCCUACGGGAGGCAGCAGUGAGGAAUAUUGGUCAAUGGCCGAGAGGCUGAACCAGCCAAGUCGCGUGAGGGAAGACGGCCCUACGGGUUGUAAACCUCUUUUGUCGGGGAGCAAAGAGAGUCACGUGUGACUCAUUGAGAGUACCCGAAGAAAAAGCAUCGGCUAACUCCGUGCCAGCAGCCGCGGUAAUACGGAGGAUGCGAGCGUUAUCCGGAUUUAUUGGGUUUAAAGGGUGCGCAGGCGGAGGUGCAAGUCAGCGGUCAAAUUGCGGGGCUCAACCCCGUACUGCCGUUGAAACUGCAUCCCUUGAGUGCACACAGGGAUGCCGGAAUUCAUGGUGUAGCGGUGAAAUGCUUAGAUAUCAUGAAGAACUCCGAUCGCGAAGGCAAGUGUCCGGGGUGCAACUGACGCUGAGGCUCGAAAGUGCGGGUAUCAAACAGGAUUAGAUACCCGUGUA
rnacentral:rRNA from 1 species